rnacentral:lncRNA from 1 species
CCAGCCUCACUAAAACAGCCAUAACUCUCGCGUUUUAAAACAUUUUUGAGUGAUUCUUGAGCCCACGCGAAGAUAACUUCCAGGGCUACAACUUUUGUCUCACGACAUUUUUCCAAAAUCAUAACACAUCAGUCCAGAAAUUUACACAAAGGUGGCUGUUCGGGAUUGGUGGACAGUUUUGACUACGCACCUUCCGAACGCCAUAACUACCUCAUCCGGAGUCGGAAUUAGUCCGUUCCGGAGUCUAU